rnacentral:tRNA from 1 species
GACGCACUCAUAGCUCAGCUGGAUAGAGUACUCGGCUACGAACCGAGCGGUCGGAGGUUC